rnacentral:lncRNA from 1 species
AUAGCAAUUGCAUAGCAGCAUGCUAGAAACACUCAGAACACCCUAGAAACUGCAAUGCCUUGACAACAACCCUAACAUAGUGUCAAUGAAUUUUGCAUAUAGCAUAUACAGUGUGUGUGUGUGUGUGUGUGUGUGUAUGUAUAUCAGGCUCUUAUGCAUGUGUACUUUGGGCUUCCUGCCAUAUUGUCGAAUUGAAAUGUUCUGAUCUGUAGCAUUCUACUCUUCCCACCUGUCCCGAGCCGACUUCGCUUCCUGAUUCACCAAACCUGCACGAAUCAUCCCAACCUCAGCACCUUCUCCGUGGGCGAGGGCUGCGCACGCAGAGUUGUAGUGUGCUGUUCAGACCUCAGGUUGCCAGAAGAAGACCAGAGAGAUGUGGAGGGCAGUUCCCAUGGGCGAGCACGCAGUACUCAAAGGGGUUGACCAAACAGUCUAUGGGGUUGACUGACAAAAUGUUUGGGAGUC